CUUUGUGAAAACCAGGUUAGGUUUUACCCUAUUAAAGGCCAAAACGUUGUUGGGAACAGCAUUCCUGCGUAGUACGAGAGGAACCGCAGGUACGGACCAAUGGCACAAUACUUGUUCGAGCGAACAGUGGUAUGACGCUACGUCCGUUGGAUUAUGCCUGAACGCCUCUAAGGUCGUAUCCGUGCUGGACUGCAAUGAUAAAUAAGGGGCAAUUUGCAUUGUAUGGCUUCUAAACCAUUAAAAGUUUUUAAUUUGUUUUAUUAACGACAAUGGAUGUGAUGCCAAUGUUAUUUAUAACAUAGUAAAUUGGGAGGAUCUUCGAUCACCUGAUGCCGCGCUAGUUAUAUUUUAAAACAUUAUUUAAUACAAUGUCAAAGCCUAGAAUCAAUUGUAAACGACUUUUGUAACAGGCAAGGUGUUGUAAGUGGUUGAGCAGCUGCCAUACUGCGAUCCACUGAAGCUUAUCCUUUGCUUGAUGAUUCGA
rnacentral:ncRNA from 1 species